AAGUCGUAACAAGGUAACCGUAGGUGAACCUGCGGUUGGAUCAUUAAAAAACAAGAUCCUGAGGUUGAGGAGCAGAGGGGGGGGGGGCCGGCACUCGGCCGUCCUCUACCUGCUCCUCUUCCUUUGGAGAUCCCUCACGGGUCUCCAUAAACCUUCAUUGUGAACCGUUUACCUGUCUUUGGCGGUCGGGGGAAGAGCAUCACGCCAACCCUGGUCAGCUGGGAGGAGGAGGAAAGCGGAGCCCACGUCAGCGGGCUCCGCGAAAUUUCCGACGAUACCCAGCCGUGGACACGCCGCCAGCCACCUCCCAAUUCUUGGGGGGUCACAAACCAGUGUGAUGUAUUUGAAAACCUAAGCGUCGGUUCCUCUUGGAACCUUGCUCAUGCAAAAUAAACAAAACAACUUUUGGCAACGGAUCUCUUGGCUCUC
rnacentral:misc_RNA from 1 species